UUAAUAUCCUGUGUUGAUGAGUCUUGCUCUAUCUAAUCUGCCAGAGGGGGAGCAGGAGUGCGGCUGUGAGGUUUAACGUUGGUAGUCCCCGGAGAAGAAGUUGGUCAUUUCAUGGCGCAAAUUAAAACCCAAAUUGAAACAUAAGCAACUAAAAUGGCUGAUUGUUACAACAUUGU